rnacentral:rRNA from 1 species
GGAUAAUAUUUUGAACCGCAUGGUUCAAAAGUGAAAGACGGUCUUGCUGUCACUUAUAGAUGGAUCCGCGCUGCAUUAGCUAGUUGGUAAGGUAACGGCUUACCAAGGCAACGAUGCAUAGCCGACCUGAGAGGGUGAUCGGCCACACUGGAACUGAGACACGGUCCAGACUCCUACGGGAGGCAGCAGUAGGGAAUCUUCCGCAAUGGGCGAAAGCCUGACGGAGCAACGCCGCGUGAGUGAUGAAGGUCUUCGGAUCGUAAAACUCUGUUAUUAGGGAAGAACAUAUGUGUAAGUAACUGUGCACAUCUUGACGGUACCUAAUCAGAAAGCCACGGCUAACUACGUGCCAGCAGCCGCGGUAAUACGUAGGUGGCAAGCGUUAUCCGGAAUUAUUGGGCGUAAAGCGCGCGUAGGCGGUUUUUUAAGUCUGAUGUGAAAGCCCACGGCUCAACCGUGGAGGGUCAUUGGAAACUGGAAAACUUGAGUGCAGAAGAGGAAAGUGGAAUUCCAUGUGUAGCGGUGAAAUGCGCAGAGAUAUGGAGGAACACCAGUGGCGAAGGCGACUUUCUGGUCUGUAACUGACGCUGAUGUGCGAAAGCGUGGGGAUCAAACAGGAUUAGAUACCCUGGUAGUCCACGCCGUAAACGAUGAGUGCUAAGUGUUAGGGGGUUUCCGCCCCUUAGUGCUGCAGCUAACGCAUUAAGCACUCCGCCUGGGG